rnacentral:lncRNA from 10 species
UGCCACCAUGUGAAGAAGGACAUGUUUGCUUCCCCUUCUGCCAUGAUUUUAAGUUCUCUGAGGACUCCCCAGCCAUGCUAAACUAGAUGUUCACCUUAAGAGGACAGAUCUGCAGGUACCACCCGAUCCGUAACUCGGUGAUUCCAAAGAGAAGAACAUACCUUUCUAAUGGAGAUGUCUGGUGAUCACCACCAUAGCCGAGGGAUAGCAGUGCGGCACCCGGACGUGCUGAGCUGCAGACACAAUGACAGGUGCACUUCCCCUGGGAGGCGGUCUUUCCCAGCACCCUUAACUCGAAUCUAAGCAUGAGGAAGCCAUCGGUCAGGUCCUCAACGGAGGAGUGUUGCAGGGAGAUUUUCUACAGGCUAGAGGCCUGGACUCUCCUAAUAAUCCAAUGCCAUGUAAAACAAAACAAAAGCAAGAAGGCAGGAGGACCACCGUAGACUAAAAGAGGCUAAAGCGAUGUAACCACCAAAUGUGAGACAUGAAAACUGAUUAAAUCUCCAAUCAGGAAUAACAUGCCACAGAAGACAUUUGGGAAGAGACAUGAACAUGGUUGUACAGGAGAUGACAUUAUUGAGUUAAGUUGAUAUUCUUAGAUAGGAUAAUCGUGACGGUUAUGGAGGAACACGUCCUUUCUCUCCACAGUCGUGUAUUGAAACUUGGAAGAUUAACUGUUAUAAUAGCUGCAGGUUACUUUCAAUUGUUUAUGACAACCUGGGUGUACCUAUAUUUAUUAUAUGUACUGUGUGUAUGCAUGUGUUAUGUAUGUGUAUGUAUGUACACACUGUAUUGGUAUGUUCUUGCAUUGCUAUAAAUACCUGAGACAGUGGAAUUUACAAAGAAAAGAGGUUUAAUUGGCUCACGGUUCUG